rnacentral:rRNA from 1 species
CGGGGUGAGUAAUGUCUGGGAAACUGCCUGAUGGAGGGGGAUAACUACUGGAAACGGUAGCUAAUACCGCAUAAUGUCGCAAGACCAAAGUGGGGGACCUUCGGGCCUCUUGCCAUCGGAUGUGCCCAGAUGGGAUUAGCUAGUAGGUGGGGUAACGGCUCACCUAGGCGACGAUCCCUAGCUGGUCUGAGAGGAUGACCAGUCACACUGGAACUGAGACACGGUCCAG